CUUUUUAAAAAAAAAAAAAAAAAGAUAAAAGAUUUUUUUUUUUUUUUUUUUUUUUUUUUUUCACUUCUGAAAGUCUUAACAUUUGAUAGCUUAAAUGGCUACAAAAAAAAAACAAGAAAUGAUAUUACUGGUAAAUCGAAUAGAAAAGACGCUAACAUUUUUUUGACAAACUAUGAAAUAGUGCACAAUGGCUUGGGUAUAAACAAUAAUGGCAGUAAAAGAGAAGAUAGUCUUAGUAGUAACAAAACUGAACUUAAUACAUAUGAUAUUUUGAAUGAAGUAUAUUGUAGUAGUAAAAUCAAGGUUAAUAGUAACAGUAGGGCUAGUAGUAACAGUAGGGCUAGUAGUAACAGUAGGGCUAGCAGUAACAGCAGGGUGAGUAGUAACAGUAGGGCAAGAAGCCAUAACAGGACAAGUAACCACAACAAGACAAGUAACCAGGACAUAACUAACAAACACAAUAAUUUACUUUCGAGUGUAAAACGAAAUAACGAAUGGAUUACAACAAAAUUUAUAAACAAAAUAAAUGAAGAUAAAUAUAGUAAAACUGAACUUGUUAAUUUGAAUAAAAAUUUAAAUAAUGAAAGUGAUAUAUAUUUUAAAGGUGAGCCUUGUAAAUUUAAAAAAAAUAUAGGGAAAAAAAAAAUUAAUCCUGAUGAACCAAUAGAAAAAGUUAUACAAGAAAAAAUUACCAAAGAUAUAAACAUUAACGAAUUAUGGAACUAUUUAAGUUAUGUUUAUAAUUCGGAAGACAGCCGAUUAAGAUAUAAAAUAAAUGAUUUUUUACAUAAGCGUGAAGAAGUAAGUGAAAACACAAAUGAACAUAACAAUGAUCAUAGCAAUAGUUUAGGUGGGUAUAAUGUUACUGUGACCCCUGAAACUGCGACCUCUGAAACUGCGACGACUGCUACUACAACUGGUGCUACUACCCAUCACAGACAUAACGACCAAACUAAUAACAUUAAUUAUGAUGAUUAUAAACAUAUCGUUCGAUAUAUACUUCCUAGUAUGACUGAAAACAAAAUAAAAUAUUCAUGGUGUGUUAUAAAAAGCAAUUUAAAUAUCGAGAAUGAUCAGGUUAAUUAUAAAGAAUUAUUUAAUUACAUAAAUAAACAAUCAGACAAUGAUAAGAGUGUAUAUGUUAGUAAAAUUGUAGCUAGUAAAUUAAAAAAUAAAUUAAUAAAUUAUCAAUUUAAUCCAUCAGAUGUUAAUUUAAAAACAAUAAAUUAUAUUGAUAAUAUUCGUUUAAAGGCUAGUGAAUUUUCAAAACAGUUUAAACAAAUAGUAACAGAAAAUGAGCUAAACGAAUUUUUUAAAGGAAAAGAAAAAAUCAGUAUACAACAACUUGAAAAUGAUAUUAUAAAUAUAAUUAAUGAAAAGGUAAAGUCUAAGGAAAAAACAGCACAUGAUAGUUUAGGAAGUAAAUCUAUAACAAAUAACUCCAUAACCAGUAGUGCCCUAACAAAUAAUGCCCCAACAAAUAAUGCCACAACAAAUAAUGCCACAACAAGUAGUACCACAACAUAUGAUAAAAAACUAAUAGAUCAAGUACAAAAAAACAGAGAAACUGAUGCAAUCACAGAUUUUAACAUAAAAGCUUAUAUAUCCACUUUAUUAAAAAAUAAAAAUGAUGAAGUGUUGAUAAAACAUUUUAUAGAUAAUUUAAAUGUCGACUAUAUAAAAUUAAAUGUUGAAAAUAAACCAAUAAAAGAUGCUUAUGAUGCAUAUACAAGAACUAUACCACCUACAGAAAUACAUAAUAAUACUUAUCAAAAUGAAUUAAGUUAUGAUGAAAUAAAAAGAGCUGAAUAUUUAAUCGAAGAAAUUGAUUAUUCCAUAAGAAACAGUACGAAAAGUGUAUACAUAGACGCACAUAAAUCUAAUCAGAGUACAAAUGCUAAUGGUACUUAUUCAGUAAAAGACCCAGAGGUUUCUUAU
ensembl:lncRNA